rnacentral:rRNA from 1 species
AACGCGAAGAACCUUACCAAAUCUUGACAUCCUCUGACUCCUCUAGAGAUAGAGUUUUCCCCUUCGGGGGACAGAGUGACAGGUGGUGCAUGGUUGUCGUCAGCUCGUGUCGUGAGAUGUUGGGUUAAGUCCCGCAACGAGCGCAACCCUUAAGCUUAGUUGCCAUCAUUAAGUUGGGCACUCUAAGUUGACUGCCGGUGACAAACCGGAGGAAGGUGGGGAUGACGUCAAAUCAUCAUGCCCCUUAUGAUUUGGGCUACACACGUGCUACAAUGGACAAUACAAAGGGUAGCGAAACCGCGAGGUCAAGCAAAUCCCAUAAAGUUGUUCUCAGUUCGGAUUGUAGUCUGCAACUCGACUAUAUGAAGAUGGAAUCGCUAGUAAUCGUAGAUCAGCAUGCUACGGUGAAUACGUUCCCGGGCCUUGUACACACCG